CACAGUUUGACUAAUUUAAACUUGACAAUUAAUUUUCCAUUUUCCUUGAACACGAAGGGUCGAAGAGUCGAAGUUUUGGGUAAAAGAGAGAUCUUUCUGGUGUGGCAAUGGAGGAACAGAGAGCGGUUUCUUCUGGGGUUGUGUCGUCAAAUUCUCAGAACAAUUGUAACUUAAGAGGAGGACAAGUAACAGAGCCUUCCCUUUCAUCAAUUCCUGUUGGUGAAAAAGCAAGUCCUUUGAUUCGAGAUGCUACCAUGGGGGAAACACAUACCAAUUUGAAUG